UGAGGAAUAUUGGUCAAUGGGCGCAAGCCUGAACCAGCCAUCCCGCGUGCAGGAAGACGGCCCUAUGGGUUGUAAACUGCUUUUCCAGGGGGAGAAUUUUUCUGUCGUGACAGGAAUUGACGGUACCCUGGGAAUAAGCAUCGGCUAACUCCGUGCCAGCAGCCGCGGUAAUACGGAGGAUGCGAGCGUUAUCCGGAUUUAUUGGGUUUAAAGGGAGCGUAGGCGGAUUGAUAAGUCAGUGGUGAAAACCUGCAGCUUAACUGUAGACUUGCCGUUGAUACUGUCAGUCUUGAGUGUGGUCAAGGUAGGCGGAAUGUGUAAUGUAGCGGUGAAAUGCUUAGAUAUUACACAGAACACCGAUUGCGAAGGCAGCUUACUGGGCCAUUACUGACGCUGAUGCACGAAAGCGUGGGGA
rnacentral:rRNA from 1 species